CUCUUAUCCAGAGCAGGCGGAGGGACUGGCCCUAUGAAGCCCGGCAACCGACGAAAGAGCGGUGCUAACCAGCAGAACGGACAUCUGUUCU
rnacentral:ncRNA from 2 species